rnacentral:rRNA from 1 species
GUGAGGAAUAUUGGUCAAUGGGCGAGAGCCUGAACCAGCCAUCCCGCGUGCAGGAUGACGGCCCUAUGGGUUGUAAACUGCUUUUCUACGCCAAGAAACGGCCCUACGUGUAGGGCACUGACGGUAGCGUAGGAAUAAGCAUCGGCUAACUCCGUGCCAGCAGCCGCGGUAAUACGGAGGAUGCAAGCGUUAUCCGGAUUCAUUGGGUUUAAAGGGUGCGCAGGCGGGAAAGUAAGUCAGUGGUGAAAAACUGCCGCUCAACGGUAGUCGUGCCAUUGAUACUGCUUUUCUUGAGUUUGGAUGAGGUAGGCGGAAUGUGCAGUGUAGCGGUGAAAUGCAUAGAUAUUGCACAGAACACCAAUUGCGAAGGCAGCUUACUAAUCCACGACUGACGCUGAGGCACGAAAGCGUGGGGAGCGAACAGGAUUAGAAACCCUAGUAGUCC